CUACCUUACCAUGAUAUCAGCAGAUAAUUUUUUUGGAGAACACAUAUGAAUGUUGUGCCAUUAUGUAUAAAAAGUAUCCAGUAGUAUUCAAUAUGGAUUCUACAUACAGCCUGAGGUACUUUUCCUGCACAGCCCCACAGCGUAAGGUAGCUCAUAAAAACAUGGUGAUGUGGCGGCCUUCAGUUAAAGGACCACUAUAGUGCCAGGAAAACAUACUCGUUUUCCUGGCACUAUAGUGACCUGAGGGUGCCCCCACCCUCAGGGACCCCCUCCAGCCUGGCUCUGUAAGGGGGAAAGGGGUUAAAACUUACCUUUUUCCAGC